GCGGCUGGUUCUGCGCCGGAUCUGAGAGAGGGGCGGUCGCCAUUGUGCUUCUCUGCGGACUGCUUUGCCUCAGUUAGAGGCCUAGAACUCCGAGGAGGAAGGCAGUGCCGCGGUCGUUGCGAGAGGGACGCGCCUUAUUCGUUGCCAGCUCGGGAGCAGGGGAAACUUUAAGAAUGGAGUCUAAACCUUCAAGGAUCCCAAGAAGAAUUUCUGUUCAACCAUCCAGCUCUUUAAGUGCUAGGAUGAUGUCUGGAAGCAGAGGAAAUAGUUUAAAUGAUACCUAUCACUCAAGAGACUCUUCAUUUAGACUGGAUUCUGAAUAUCAGUCUACAUCAGCAUCAGCAUCACCAUUUCAGUCUGCUUGGUAUAGUGAAUCUGAGAUAACUCAGGGAGCACGCUCAAGAUCACAAAACCAGCAACGGGAUCAUGAUUCAAAAAGACCUAAACUUUCCUGUACAAACUGUACAUCUACCUCUGCUGGGAGAAAUAUUGGACAUGGUUUAAAUGCUGUAUCAGAAUCUUCUUGGAGGCAUAAUCAAGUUCCUAGGUCUUCAUCAAUGGUACUUGGAUCAUUUGGAACUGACUUGAUGAGAGAGAGAAGAGAUUUAGAGAGAAGAACAGAUUCUUCCAUUAGUAAUCUUAUGGAUUAUAGCCACCGAGGUGGUGAUUUCACAAAUUCAUCAUAUAUUCAAGACAGAGUUCCUUCUUCAUAUUCACAGGGAGCAAGACCAAAAGAUAACUCAGUGAGCACUUUACAGUUGAAUACAUCAUCCACAAACCACCAGAUGCCUUCUGAACAUCAGACUGUACCAUGUUCUAGGGACUCUAAUAGAAAUUCUCUACGGUCAAAUUUUUCUCCAAGAGAAUUGGAAUCUCCCCAAAGCAGUACACAGCCUGGAUUUUCUUAUCUUUCAAAUAGAGAUGAAGCUUCAACCAUAAGCAGUUCGGAUAGGGUUGGUUCAUCUCAAAGAUCAUUUCAAGACUCUUCUGACAAUGAAGGUAGACGGUCAACCAGAAGAUUGCUGUCACGUAUAGCUUCUAGUAUGUCAUCUACCUUCUUUCCCCGAAGAUCUAGUCAGGAUUCCUUGAAUACAAGAUCAUUGAGUUCUGAAAAUUCCUAUGUUUCUCCAAGAAUCUUGACAGCUUCACAGUCUCGUAGCAAUGCAGCGUCAGCUUCUGAUGUUCCCGAUAGUAGGGCAUCUGAAGCUUCUCAGGGAUUUCGAUUUCUUAGGCGAAGAUGGGGUUUGUCAUCUCUUAGCCAAAAUCAUAGCUCUGAGCCUGAUUCAGAAAAUUUUAACCAAGAAUCUGAAGGUAGAAAUACAGGACCAUGGUUAUCUUCCUCACUUAGAAAUAGAUGCACACCUUUGUUCUCUAGAAGGAGACGAGAGGGACGAGAUGAAUCUUCAAGGAUACCUACCUCUGAUAUACCAUCUAGAUCUCAUCAUAUUUUUAGAAGAGAAUCAAAUGAAGUGGUUCACCUUGAAGCACAGAGUGAUCCCCUUGGGGCUACUGCCAGCAGAUCACAAGCAUCUGCAGCAUCGAGUAGUACUGCUACGGGUGGCUCCACAUCAGAUUCAGCUCACAGUGGAAGAAAUACAGGAAUAACAGGGAUCCUUCCUGGUUCUUUAUUUCGAUUCGCAGUCCCCCCAGCACUUGGAAAUAAUUUGACCGACAAUGUCAUGAUCACUGUAGAUAUUAUUCCUUCAGGUUGGAGUUCAUCUGAUGGAAAAAGUGAUAAAACUAAAAGUGCACCUUCAAGAGACCCAGAAAAACUGCAGAAAAUAAAAGAGAGCCUCCUUUUAGAGGACUCUGAAGAAGAAGGUGACUUAUGUAGAAUUUGUCAGAUGGCAGCUGCAUCAUCAUCUAACUUGCUGAUAGAGCCGUGCAAGUGCACAGGAAGCUUGCAGUAUGUUCACCAAGAUUGUAUGAAAAAGUGGUUACAGGCCAAAAUUAACUCUGGUUCUUCAUUAGAGGCUGUAACCACCUGUGAACUCUGUAAAGAGAAGUUGCAGCUUAACCUGGAGGAUUUUGAUAUUCAUGAACUACAUAGAGCUCAUGCAAAUGAACAAGCUGAGUAUGAGUUUAUCAGCUCUGGUCUCUACCUAGUUGUGUUAUUGCACUUGUGCGAACAAAGCUUUUCUGAUAUGAUGGGAAAUACAAAUGAACCAAGCACACGUGUCCGAUUUAUUAACCUUGCAAGAACUCUUCAGGCACAUAUGGAAGAUCUCGAAAGUAGGUGGAAUUUCCCCUUCCCAGACUUGUUGAAUUUCUUUUGCAAAUUAAAUCCACAGACCAAAACCUUACUGUAUAUGCUUUCUACCAAAUUAGAGCUUCAUUUAUAGGCGUAGUAAUACCAUAAUAACUGAUUUGGGAAAGAUGUGUUGGGCAACUGACCUUUUUCAAAGCAUAUUUUUAAAAAAUAAUAAUUUUAAGGUACAGAAGGAUAUAUUUUAACUAGUGUUUUAUUUAAAAUUUUUAUUUUUGAUCGCCUUAAUUUUAAUCAAAAAGAAAACUUCUGGUCAAACCACACUUCUAAAUCUGUUAGGUGUGUGUGAGAGAGAGAGAGAAAUUUUGUUAUUCAUCUUUGUUAGAUCAUUAAAAGUUUUCCCUUGGUUUGUAUAUAGUUCUAGGAAAAUAGGGGUGAAAGAUUCCUAGUUCUGAGUCUGUAACAGAAGCCAUAGUUUUUUUUUUGCUCCUUGUUCAGGUCCUCAUGGACCUUUAAUAGGCAGCCAGCUCCGACAGCAACUCCAAUCUCUUAAGAUCACGUUCCAGCAUUAGGACUUCUGCCUGGGCUCCCAUGUGAAGGCACUUAAUGCCCAAAUCUUUACAGGCAUCUGCACAGCUUAACCUCAAAGUCCUACAAUCUCCAGGGUGCUUCGUACCAGCUUCAGAGGAUGAUUCCGAAGAAGAUGGAGACCAUAACAGAACAUUUGAUAUUGCCUAACUUCAUAUAAGACAAAUGGAUGAUCUGUGAACAAGUGUUUAUUAAAACUGGCAAUUACGUAUGAUUUAAUUUUGUGGGGAAUGCCUAUUGGAGAUAUAUAUAUAUAUAUAUAUAUAUAUAUAUAUAUAGAUAUAUAUAGAUAUAUAUAUAUAUUUAGAUAUUCUCAAGUAUUGCUGAAUUAAAAAUUCUCCUGGACCUUUUAACAUGGCCAAUGAAUCUGAUGUUUAUAAACUGGUCAUCAAAAGUAUUUUUCUUUUCGGUGAGUGGGAAAAUGUUAUCCUUGUUUUAAAUAUCUAAUGCUGAUGACCUUUUUUGUGUUUUGAUUACUGUAGUCAUAUUUAUGAAAAAAAAUGGUUCGUUUUUAGUUUCUUGCUAGUGAAAAAAGUGGGACAAAAUAUGCUUUUGAAAUAAAAUGGCACCUAAUUAUUUUUCUUUUCAAAAAUGCCUUAAGUUACAGUCUCAUUUUCAUGAUCAUUUGCUUCCAGUGUUUAUAAAAAAAAAUAAUUGGGAAGUUAUGAAAGCAUUAUAUAUUAGGUUCCCAAAGUUAAUAUGAAUCCUAAAUUCACUUAGCAAUAAAAUCUAAUUUUUAAGAAGUAUAUAAAUAUAAAAUGUAUAAAUGAUGGAUAAAUUUUUGUAUUGAUUUGCAAAAUGCAGAUUAUAUUUGAUAAGCCAUAGUAUGUAGAUAUUCCUUUUAGGAGUAUUACAGCUGUAAAUUAUAUCGGAAUUGCCCAUCAAAUGCUAUUUGGGAAAAAAAAUUACUGCAAUCUCAAGUUAAUGGAAUAUUUUUAAAUCCCACAUUUCAAGUUUAAAACACUGGUUUUCAAUGUGUUUUUUAGUGUUGUCACUUCUUUAUAGAUAAAUACGAUAUAAAUAACCUGUUUGGAUCCUGGUCGUUUUUAACUGUUCCUUGGUAAUUCUGAGCAUUUAUUUACUGACUUAAUAUUUUUCACCACUUUUGGAGAACAGAUGAACAUCACCUGUUCACCAAUGAAUAGAUCUACACCAUGGUCAGGAGUUGUGUAUAAAGUUUCAUAACACUGUAUAUAUUUCCUCUGUCAACACCCUUUAGGAUAUACUUUUAAACACCUUCAGGUGGUUUCAGAUUUAAAUAGUCUUAUGUUAUGGCAACUAACUACAUUUUCAGAACCUAAAUAGAAACCAUGUAAUUUCUCAAAUGUGAGUCAACAGUUUGGCCACACUUUGUUUGUCUUAAUGUAAAACCUUGGCUGGAAAUAAAAUGCAUACUGAUUGAUUUA